rnacentral:tRNA from 1 species
GUCCAGGGAUGGGAAUCGAACCUACAAUGUUCCGAUUACCGGGCAGAUGCCAUGUCCACUAGGCUACCCUGGA